rnacentral:rRNA from 1 species
UACAGAGGUCUCAAGCGUUGUUCGGAUUCAUUGGGCGUAAAGGGUGCGUAGGUGGCGAGGUUAGUCAGGUGUGAAAUCUCGGGGCUCAACCCCGAAACUGCACUUGAUACUGCCUUGCUAGAGUACUGGAGGAGGAGAUUGGAAUUACGGUGUAGCAGUGAAAUGCGUAGAUAUCGUAAGGAAGACCCAGUGGCGAAGGCGAAUCUCUGGACAGUACUGACACGACGGCCACGAAGGCCAG